UACGAAGGGAGCUAGCGUUGUUCGGAAUCACUGGGCGUAAAGCGCACGUAGGCGGAUGUGUCAGUCAGGGGUGAAAAUCCCGGGGCUCAACCUCGGAACUGCCUUUGAUACAGCACGUCUUGAGUCCGGAAGAGGUGGGUGGAAUUCCUAGUGUAGAGGUGAAAUUCGUAGAUAUUAGGAAGAAACACGGUGGCGAAGGCGCCCACUGGUCCGGUAC
rnacentral:rRNA from 1 species